rnacentral:tRNA from 2 species
GCGCUUGUGGCGGAACAGGUAGACGCUGCAGACUUAAAAUCUGUUGGGAGCAAUCCCGUGCCGGUUCGAUUCCGGCCUAGCGCACCA